rnacentral:lncRNA from 1 species
UUGGCAGAACAAACAUUUGAAAGUUUAUUUCUCUCUUUGACCGAGUAUUUGUUGAAAGAACUGCAGCUGAAACUGUAGCCAAAGGAGGCAUGAUGCUUCCAGAACAAAUGUCAAAGAAAAGUAUUACAUGCAUCAGUAGUAGCUGUUAGAUUGGUCUCUAAAAGAAAGGGUGGAGAGAUUCAACCAGUUAGCAUCCAAGUUGGAGAUAAAGUUAUUUUCCCAGAAUAUGGAAGCACCAAAGUGCUUUUUAGAGAUGGUGACUUUCUUGGAAAGUAUGCAGACUGAA